rnacentral:rRNA from 1 species
CCCGAUAGCAUAAUGAUUCCGCAUGGUUUCAUUAUUAAAGGAUUCCGGUAAAGGAUGGGGAUGCGUUCCAUUAGGUUGUUGGUGAGGUAACGGCCCACCAAGCCUUCGAUGGAUAGGGGUUCUGAGAGGAAGGUCCCCCACAUUGGAACUGAGACACGGUCCAAACUCCUACGGGAGGCAGCAGUGAGGAAUAUUGGUCAAUGGGCGUUAGCCUGAACCAGCCAAGUAGCGUGAAGGAUGAAGGCUCUAUGGGUCGUAAACUUCUUUUAUAUAAGAAUAAAGUGCAGUAUGUAUACUGUUUUGUAUGUAUUAUAUGAAUAAGGAUCGGCUAACUCCGUGCCAGCAGCCGCGGUAAUACGGAGGAUCCGAGCGUUAUCCGGAUUUAUUGGGUUUAAAGGGAGCGUAGGUGGACUGGUAAGUCAGUUGUGAAAGUUUGCGGCUCAACCGUAAAAUUGCAGUUGAUACUGUCAGUCUUGAGUACAGUAGAGGUGGGCGGAAUUCGUGGUGUAGCGGUGAAAUGCUUAGAUAUCACGAAGAACUCCGAUUGCGAAGGCAGCUC